AUUGAACGCUGGCGGCAGGCCUAACACAUGCAAGUCGAGCGGAGCUGCGGACGGGUGAGUAAUGCCUAUGAAUCUGCCUUGUAGUUGGGGAUAACGUCCGGGAACGGGCGCUAAUCCCGCAUACUCUCAGAUGAGCCUAGGUCGGAGUAGUUAGUUGGUGGGGUAAAGGCCUACCAAGGCGACGAUCCGUAACUGGUCUGAGAGGAUGAUCAGUCACACUGGAACUGAGACACGGUCCAGACUCCUACGGGAGGCAGCAGUGGGGAAUAUUGGACAAGGGGCGGAAGCCUGAUCCAGCCAAUGCGCGUGUGUGAAGAAGGGCUUCGGAUUGUAAAGCACUUUAAGUUGGGAAGCGUUACCAACAGAAUAAGCACCGGCUAACUUCGUGCCAGCAGCCGCGGUAAUAC
rnacentral:rRNA from 1 species